rnacentral:rRNA from 1 species
GGGGAAUCUUCCGCAAUGGGCGAAAGCCUGACGCAGCCAUGCCGCGUGAAUGAUGAAGGUCUUAGGAUUGUAAAAUUCUUUCACCGGGGACGAUAAUGACGGUACCCGGAGAAGAAGCCCCGGCUAACUUCGUGCCAGCAGCCGCGGUAAUACGAAGGGGGCUAGCGUUGCUCGGAAUUACUGGGCGUAAAGGGCGCGUAGGCGGAUCGUUAAGUCAGAGGUGAAAUCCCAGGGCUCAACCCUGGAACUGCCUUUGAUACUGGCGAUCUUGAGUAUGAGAGAGGUAUGUGGAACUCCGAGUGUAGAGGUGAAAUUCGUAGAUAUUCGGAAGAACACCAGUGGCGAAGGCGACAUACUGGCUCAUUACUGACGCUGAGGCGCGAAAGCGUGGGGAGCAAACAGGAUUAGAUACCCUGGUAGUC